rnacentral:rRNA from 1 species
GACGAACGCUGGCGGCGUGCUUAACACAUGCAAGUCGAACGGAAAGGCCCUGCUUUUGUGGGGUGCUCGAGUGGCGAACGGGUGAGUAACACGUGAGUAACCUGCCCUUGACUUUGGGAUAACUUCAGGAAACUGGGGCUAAUACCGGAUAGGAGCUCCUGCUGCAUGUGGGGGGUUGGAAAGAUUCGGCGGUUGGGGAUGGACUCGCGGCUUAUGAGCUUGUUGGUGGGGUAGUGGCAUACCAAGGCUUUGACGGAUAGCCGGCAUGAGAGGGGUACCGGCGACAUGAGGACUGCGAUAGGCCCCAGAAGCCAACGGGAGGCAACGGGGGGAAGCUUGACACAACGGGCUGAAGCCAGAUGCGGCGACGCCGGGUGCGGAAAACCGUCCUAUGGGUUGAAAACCACUUUGGCAGGAGCCGAGGAGGGCUUGACGGUAAUGGAUAAGAAAGCCCCGGCUAACUACGUG